rnacentral:misc_RNA from 1 species
UUGGGAAAGUGAUCGGAGAUGUUCUUGACAUGUACAAUCCGGUUGCUGAGUUCACUGUGCGUUAUGGAUCGAAACAAAUCGCUAAUGGCUGGGAAAUCAAGCCCUCUGUUGCUGCCGAAAUGCCCCAUGUGCAGAUCAUGGGUUCUCGUUUCUCCUCUGAUCUCUAUACCAUGGUUAUGGUUGAUCCUGAUGCCCCAAGUCCUAGUGAACCAAAAUGGAGAGAAUGGCUCCACUGGAUUGUCGUAGAUAUCCCAGAAGGAUCCGAUGCCACCAAAGGACAUGAAUACAUGGGACCUCAGCCUCCCACCGGUAUUCACCGGUACGUGUUUGCUCUGUUCAAGCAGAAAGCUGCAUUGAUGGGAAGGAGUCGACCUCCAGGUGGGCGUGGCAACUUCAGCACCCGCCAAUUUGCUGCUCAACAUGGAUUUGGGCUUCCAGUUGCUGCUGUGUAUUUUAACUCGCAGAAGGAACCGGCUGUUAAAAAACGUUGACAUUCUGUUAAAAAUCUUUAGUGUCGUUUGUUACUAUAUGGAUGGGAUCGAGAUUACAUGUUGACGUGGCUUUGUGCUUGUAGUUCGCAAAAGUUAGGAAUUUUCAACAAAAAUUGCCUAAUCUCAAAUCUCAAAGCUUAUAUUAGAAGGG